GUGCUUGCUUCGGCAGCACAUACACUAAAACUGGAACGAUACAGAGAAGAUUAGCGUGGCCCCUGUGCAAGGAUAACAUGCAAAUUUGUGAAGCGUUCCACAUUUUU
rnacentral:snRNA from 1 species